rnacentral:lncRNA from 1 species
CUACGUGUUUUCUUUUCUCUGGGUUCAAAGCCAAAUUUGGCUCUUUCAUGUUAGUAGUACAAAGAAAAGUAAAAAUAUUGAUGAGGAAAUUUUCCAAUAGUAAUAAUAGUAUAGCUUAGAUAGGAUUUUAUUUUAUUUUUUUUUCAUUGUAGAUACCAAGUUUUUAGGUUUAGGAUUGUUUAGUUCUUUUACAAAAGUUUUUUUUUUACAAGUUUGAUUUCAC